UCUCCCGGCGGGGUCAGCGGGAAGCGCUGCGUCCCUCAUGCGCAGGAAACCGGUGAUGAUUGAGGCGGCUGCAACAGCUGCGCCUUCCCCCGCCACGAUACGGCGAGGCUCCCUCAGGGCCGGUGCCGCUUUCCCCCGGCGCUGAGCGGCUGCGGCGGAAGGAACGAGCCAGCCUGUCAGUGGACAAAAAAUGAACCAGCCAAGAUGGUGUGACUUUAAAAAUAAAGGGUAAUCCUUCAGAAAAAGGCUGCUUAAGCAAGCUUCAGACACCUCUAACUUGAAGCAGCAGUGGUGUAACCAGGCUUUGAGGCGUGGCUGAACACCAUCCCAGUAUUUCCCACUUUUCCCGAGGCCGUGCAGACCCGGAGGAGCCGCGGGCCAGAUUAUGCCUUGAGCUGCAGAACGUCUGACAAACGUGGCAACUGAGAACUGGUUGGCAGCAUCCACAUCUGAUGGUUUGGAGAUUCCUAAAACUUGAUCAUCUGUGUUUUCUCUACAUGGUUAUGAAGGAUUUAAAUAAAAAAAAAACACUAAAUAAAGAUGCCACCUACAAGACUGAAA